GACGAACGCGGCGGCGUGCUUAACACAUGCAAGUCGAACGAAGAGCGAUGGAAGCUUGCUUCCAUCAAUCUUAGUGGCGAACGGGUGAGUAACGCGUAAUCAACCUGCCCUUCAGAGGGGGACAACAGUUGGAAACGACUGCUAAUACCGCAUACGAUCUAACCUUGGCAUCGAGGAUGGAUGAAAGGUGGCCUCUAUUUAUAAGCUAUCACUGAAGGAGGGGAUUGCGUCUGAUUAGCUAGUUGGAGGGGUAACGGCCCACCAAGGCGAUGAUCAGUAGCCGGUCUGAGAGGAUGAACGGCCACAUUGGGACUGAGACACGGCCCAGACUCCUACGGGAGGCAGCAGUGGGGAAUCUUCCGCAAUGGACGAAAGUCUGACGGAGCAACGCCGCGUGAGUGAUGACGGCCUUCGGGUUGUAAAGCUUUG
rnacentral:rRNA from 1 species